ACCAGAUCUUCAGGGAGUGCUAGGAGAAGAGAAGGAGCUGAACAGGGUGAUCGUGCCCCUGCUUGGGCACGGCAAUUACUUGGUUUUUCAGAUGAAGAGUGCUGUCGGAGGCCCAACAAACUAUUUGGCACGACCAAUAAAAAAAUUUAAAAAAGACAAAAAGGUACCAGAGUGGGUGUGGAAUAUUUGCUGGGUACGGAACAGCACUAACUAACGCCCUCACACGCACUCUCCAUCUAGAUGCCCCAUGCACAAAAUUCUCCUACUUAGAAGGGGAGUAUUGGUCGUUCACCUCACUCUUCCUUUAAAGUUUGCUGGGUUUGGGUUUGUUUUCAACGAGUGCACCAGUCCUUUUCGAGAUGCAGCUGCCACAGAAAAGGAAGAAAGAAACCAUGAGGAAUAUGAGAAGACAGGGAUUCCCAUAGUACUCCUGAAGAGUUGGAAAGUUUCCUGGUAAAGCUGAACUUGUUUCUCAUCCUUAUUCGAAUGCCCACUCACAUGCCCGAUGUCUAGCCUACCACCUUCCCCACAUUAAAGUGGCUCAGUUUCUGUUGGUUACAUCAAGUAAGUUUGAACCAUCUCCUCUGCCCUAUUAGUAGUACUCCCUGACCCGACCAAACUUCCUCUCAUUUCAGAACGACCCAAGGUGAGGAAGGGUAAACAAUGAGAAUGACAAUUAAGAACUGGUGAUUUCCAGAAGCAAAACAGAAGCCCCAUUUGCUUUACUUCAUGUCGUAAU
rnacentral:lncRNA from 1 species